GACGAACGCUGGCGGCGUGCUUAACACAUGCAAGCCGAACGGAAAGGCCCUGCUUUUGUGGGGUGCUCGAGUGGCGAACGGGUGAGUAACACGUGAGUAACCUGCCCUUGACUUUGGGAUAACUUCAGGAAACUGGGGCUAAUACCGGAUAGGAGCUCCUGCUGCAUGGUGGGGGUUGGAAAGUUUCGGCGGUUGGGGAUGGACUCGCGGCUUAUCAGCUUGUUGGUGGGGUAGUGGCUUACCAAGGCUUUGACGGGUAGCCAGCCUGAGAGGGUGACCGGCCACAUUGGGACUGAGAUACGGCCCAGACUCCUACGGGAGGCAGCAGUGGGGAAUAUUGCACAAUGGGCGGAAGCCUGAUGCAGCAACGCCGCGUGCGGGAUGACGGCCUUCGGGUUGUAAACCGCUUUCGCCUGUGACGAAGCGUGAGUGACGGUAAUGGGUAAAGAAGCACCGGCUAACUACGUG
rnacentral:rRNA from 1 species